rnacentral:misc_RNA from 1 species
UUAACUAUUAUAUAGUACUCAGACAUCACUAAAAUUCAGAGUUUGGUCCUCUGGCAGGCACAUGUAGGCAAUGCCCACAGGGUCAAGACCACGGCCUGCCAAAGCAACAAGAGUAGAUAGACACGGAUGGGGUAUACCCGAAGGUAUCCUUUUAUUAAUGAUCCUUCCGCAGGUUCACCUACGGAAA